AUUGAACGCUGGCGGCAUGCCUUACACGUGCAAGUCGAACGGCAGCGGGGACUUCGGUCCGCCGGCGAGUGGCGAACGGGUGAGUAAUGCAUCGGAACGUACCCGGAAGUGGGGGAUAACGUAGCGAAAGUUACGCUAAUACCGCAUAUUCUGUGAGCAGGAAAGAGGGGGAUCUUCGGACCUCUUGCUUUCGGAGCGGCCGAUGUCAGAUUAGCUAGUUGGUGAGGUAAAGGCUCACCAAGGCGACGAUCUGUAGCGGGUCUGAGAGGAUGAGCCGCCACACUGGAACUGAGACACGGUCCAGACUCCUACGGGAGGCAGCAGUGGGGAAUGUUGGACAAUGGGCGCAAGCCUGAUCCAGCCAUGCCGCGUGAGUGAAGAAGGCCUUCGGGUUGUAAAGCUCUUUCGGCCGGGAAGAAAUCGCAUGGAUUAAUACUCUGUGCGGAUGAUGGUACCGGAAUAAGAAGCACCGGCUAACUACGUGCCAGCCGCCGCUGUAAGAC
rnacentral:rRNA from 1 species